AGAGUUUGAUCCUGGCUCAGGAUGAACGCCGGCGGUGUGCCUAAUACAUGCAAGUCGAACGCGUUGGCCCAACUGAUUGAACGUGCUUGCACGGACUUGACGUUGGUUUACCAGCGAGUGGCGGACGGGUGAGUAACACGUAGGUAACCUGCCCCAAAGCGGGGGAUAACAUUUGGAAACAGAUGCUAAUACCGCAUAACAAUUUGAAUCGCAUGAUUCAAAUUUGAAAGAUGGCUUCGGCUAUCACUUUGGGAUGGACCUGCGGCGCAUUAGCUUGUUGGUAGGGUAACGGCCUACCAAGGCUGUGAUGCGUAGCCGAGUUGAGAGACUGAUCGGCCACAAUGGAACUGAGACACGGUCCAUACUCCUACGGGAGGCAGCAGUAGGGAAUCUUCCACAAUGGGCGCAAGCCUGAUGGAGCAACACCGCGUGAGUGAAGAAGGGUUUCGGCUCGUAAAGCUCUGUUGUUAGAGAAGAACGUGCGUGAGAGCAACUGUUCACGCAGUGACGGUAUCUAACCAGAAAGUCACGGCUAGCUACGUGCCAGCAGCCGCGGUAAUACGUAGGUGGCAAGCGUUAUCCGGAUUUAUUGGGCGUAAAGCGAGCGCAGGCGGUUUGAUAAGCCUGAUGUGAAAGCCUUUGGCUUAACCAAAGAAGUGCAUCGGAAACUGUCAGACUUGAGUGCAGAAGAGGACAGUGGAACUCCAUGUGUAGCGGUGGAAUGCGUAGAUAUAUGGAAGAACACCAGUGGCGAAGGCGGCUGUCUGGUCUGCAACUGACGCUGAGGCUCGAAAGCAUGGGUAGCGAACAGGAUUAGAUACCCUGGUAGUCCAUGCCGUAAACGAUGAGUGCUAGGUGUUGGAGGGUUUCCGCCCUUCAGUGCCGCAGCU
rnacentral:rRNA from 1 species